rnacentral:lncRNA from 1 species
UUCGGGGGGCGGUGCUGCUGCGGUUGCCAUGGCGUCUUCCGAGCGCGCAGGCGUGGGCCCAGAGUAGCUUUUCGGGUAUUUGCUACCGGCUCUCGGUAGGGCUGGUCACCUUUGCUUGCUGAGCUUCGCGCCCUGCGUCCUUUGGUCCCCAGCAACUUGCAGGGCAGCCGUCCCUCAUGAGGCCCUCCAGCGAAUGCCCUAAAGCUCCGAAGUUGCUCCGGAGGAAAACAGGCUUGCUCCGAGGGUGCACGUCCUUACUGCCCGUGACGUCGUGGUGCCUUGAGGGCACCCUUCUGGGAAGAUCCUUGCAGAGGCCAUGUCCCCUCUCCACGACAUCCAAGCCCAUUCCCAACUUGCUUUUCACUCCUGUCCCCCCGGGGAACGUCUACUGGACCUUAGGACAGCCCCUCACCCCCGUGCACCCCCCAGGUGGAUCUGCAGCGAAACCUCUGUGGUGACUCACAGUUGCUAGCAUUGGUUAUCUUCUUCCUGGCAGAAGGUGGCAGGCUGAUGCUGUCGUCGUUCCUGUGUGUCUGACAAAUCACAAAUAUGAAUUCAGAUCGUCACAGCUGAGUCAUGCCCAGGAUUUCCAUGAGCCCUGCUGGGGUGGCCAGCUUGAGCUCCCUUCCCCACAGCCUCCUCCAGCUCUGCAGCGCCAGGCACCAGUGUGACUCAUGGGGGCCUGUGGAAGCCGGGGCUGCUCAGUGGGGCUGAGUCUAGGAGGGGGAGAGAGAGAAAGGGAGCCCAUCAACAAUUACAGUGCAAACGCCGCAGCUGCCACCACCGAGUGCCUCCAGUUAGGAACUGGUUUGUGAAAUUCAUUACCCUAUGAGACGAGUUUUAUCUCUGUUUCACUCAAGAGGAUUCUGAGGCUCAGGAGGUUGUGAAUGACUCGGGGAAGCACAGCUGAGUUGCAAACACACUGACAGCUCCCGAAUGAUCUGAUACAGGAUCCUUAAUAGGCAUGGAAGUGUUCGCCAGACAGAGGGGUCCUGCCCUUGCUGAUCUGAGCUGGUUCUGUGUUAGAGACUCCGUGGGCGUCUGUUUGACAGGAUCUGCCAGGAGCUGAAGAAUAACUUUCCUGAUCUGGAAGAGCAAAUCUCAGAUAUUUUGCACAUUUGCAGAACCUACCCCUAGGAGUGGGAGAAGACCACAACCAAAGAAGCAAAUGGACACACGGACUAUCAGAUGAAAGGCAGCUACACAGGAAAAUAAAGCAGUGCAGCAGGAUUGGAGGUGCUUGUGGUGAGAGGAGGUAGGGAGUUGCUUUUUACAUGGGGAGAUCAGGGAAGGCCUCAGUAAGGAGGUGAUAUUUGAAUAGAGAGAGACCUGGGAGAGGAAAGAGAGUGAGCCCUGUUGAUAUAUAAGGGUAGAAUGACUCUGGCAGAGCGGUUAGUGCAAAGGUCUUGUGGCAGAAAACACCCUUUUGGACUUCCAUUGUGAAUGUCUUGGGACACUUGAUGGUGUCCCACA